rnacentral:rRNA from 1 species
CAUGCAAGUCGAACGAGAGAGAAGGAGCUUGCUUCUUCGAUCGAGUGGCGAACGGGUGAGUAACGCGUGAGGAACCUGCCUCAAAGAGGGGGACAACAGUUGGAAACGACUGCUAAUACCGCAUAAGCCCACGGAUCGGCAUCGAUCUGAGGGAAAAGGAGCAAUCCGCUUUGAGAUGGCCUCGCGUCCGAUUAGCUAGUUGGUGAGGUAACGGCCCACCAAGGCGACGAUCGGUAGCCGGACUGAGAGGUUGAACGGCCACAUUGGGACUGAGACACGGCCCAGACUCCUACGGGAGGCAGCAGUGGGGAAUAUUGCACAAUGGGGGAAACCCUGAUGCAGCGACGCCGCGUGGAGGAAGAAGGUCUUCGGAUUGUAAACUCCUGUUGUUGAGGAAGAUAAUGACGGUACUCAACAAGGAAGUGACGGCUAACUACGUGCCAGCAGCCGCGGUAAAACGUAGGUCACAAGCGUUGUCCGGAAUUACUGGGUGUAAAGGGAGCGCAGGCGGGAAGACAAGUUGGAAGUGAAAUCUAUGGGCUCAACCCAUAAACUGCUUUCAAAACUGUUUUUCUUGAGUAGUGCAGAGGUAGGCGGAAUUCCCGGUGUAGCGGUGGAAUGCGUAGAUACCGGGAGGAACACCAGUGGCGAAGGCGGCCUACUGGGCACCAACUGACGCUGAGGCUCGAAAGUGUGGGUAGCAAACAGGAUUAGAUACCCUGGUAGUCCACACCGUAAACGAUGAUUACUAGGUGUUGGAGGAUUGACCCCUUCAGUGCCGCAGUUAACACAAUAAGUAAUCCACCUGGGGAGUACGACCGCAAGGUUGAAACUCAAAGGAAUUGACGGGGGCCCGCACAAGCAGUGGAGUAUGUGG